CAGAAUUGGUGGUAGAGUCUGAAGCUGGUGGAUCUUAAAAAACUCAAUGCUGAGUACAAAAGGCAGCACUCCCUGCUGACCUCCCCAGGUCUCCAGCAGCUCUCCAGCUGGCUUUGCUGGCACUGUUCCAAAAAGGACUGUGGAAGGAAGUGGCGAGGAUGGAUAAAAUAACUUCAGGAAAAGAAAACUUUGCUUGUGUGUUAGCCAAAAGCAGGAGCCCCAAAGGUGGUCUCUGUGGAUCAAUGCAUCACUGUCUGUGAGGCCCCCAGAAGUCACGGCCACCUGUAGGAGUCAGCCUGAUGUUCUUCCUCACCACCCUCUCCAGGACCACCGUGCACGGACGUGGUGGACCUGCCUCUCAUGGUCUCACCACGUCAUGGGAAGCCCAGCCUUCCUGGGGCAAUAGAUGAACCACAACUUUUAAUCUGAAGGAAUUAAAAUCCUUUGUGAAUCCAAUUACAAAAUAUUUGUCCAGAAAGGCAUUCAAGUUAGACGGUACCAGUGGUAGCAGCCCUUGGUAUGCCAAUCUGGCUUUGUAACACCAGACCCACGUAUCAGAGCCUGGGCCACUUGUGACAAUCUUCCUGACAUACCAGCUUCAGACAUUGACUGACCUGUGAACAACAAAGAUAACAUGGAAAUGAUGCAGUAUGUGACUUCUGAGUCUCUGUCUUGAAAGACACUGUGGCUUAUGCCUUGCUUUCUUGACUCACUUCCUCUGUGAGAAGCUGACCUCCAUGGCAUGAGAAGGAAAGAUCCGUGUGGUGAAGACCUGAGACCGACAGCCAACCACUGGCACCAGUUUGUCAGCUGUACAGUGAGCCUUCGGCUACAGGCUGGUCCUGUAGCCUUAGUCAAACCUUCAGAUGACUGUAAUCCAGAUCGACACCUAAACCAUAACCUCAUGAAAGACCCUGAGCAAAAGCCACCCACGAAGACACUCCCCAAAUCCUGCCUUAUAGAAAAUGAGAUUAAGCAAAAUCUAUUGUUUCAAGACACAGUGUUGAGAUAAUUUGUCAUUAGUAAUAUGUAACUAUACUAGUAAUAAAUAAUAAAGAGCUAAUAUAAAUAAUGCAUUACUUAUAACAGA